GAUGAACGCUGGCGGCGUGCCUAAUACAUGCAAGUCGAGCGAACAGACGAGGAGCUUGCUCCUCUGACGUUAGCGGCGGACGGGUGAGUAACACGUGGAUAACCUACCUAUAAGACUGGGAUAACUUCGGGAAACCGGAGCUAAUACCGGAUAAUAUAUUGAACCGCAUGGUUCAAUAGUGAAAGACGGUUUUGCUGUCACUUAUAGAUGGAUCCGCGCCGCAUUAGCUAGUUGGUAAGGUAACGGCUUACCAAGGCAACGAUGCGUAGCCGACCUGAGAGGGUGAUCGGUCACACUGGAACUGAGACACGGUCCAGACUCCUACGGGAGGCAGCAGUAGGGAAUCUUCCGCAAUGGGCGAAAGCUUGACGGAGCAACGCCGCGUGAGUGAUGAAGGUCUUCGGAUCGUAAAACUCUGUUAUUAGGGAAGAACAAAUGUGUAAGUAACUAUGCACGUCUUGACGGUACCUAAUCAGAAAGCCACGGCUAACUACGUG
rnacentral:rRNA from 1 species